AGUGAACGCUGGCGGUAGGCCUAACACAUGCAAGUCGAACGGCAGCACAGUAAGAGCUUGCUCUUACGGGUGGCGAGUGGCGGACGUGUGAGGAAUACAUCGGAAUCUACUUUUUCGUGGGGGAUAACGUAGGUAAACUUACGCUAAUACCGCAUACGACCUACGGGUGAAAGCAGGGGAUCUUCGGACCUUGCGCGAUUGAAUGAGCCGAUGUCGAAUUAGCUAGUUGGCGGGGUAAAGGCCCACCAAGGCGACGAUCCGUAGCUGGUCUGAGAGGAUGAUCAGCCACACUGGAACUGAGACACCGUCAAGAGUCCUACGGGAGGCAGCAGUGGGGAAUAUUGGACAAUGGGCGCAAGCCUGAUCCAGCCAUACCGCGUGGGUGAAGAAGGCCUUCGGGUUGUAAAGCCCUUUUGUUGGGAAAGAAAAGCAGCAGGUUAAUACCCCGCUGUUCUGACGGUACCCAAAGAAUAAGCACCGGCUAACUUCGUG
rnacentral:rRNA from 1 species